rnacentral:siRNA from 1 species
CCAAACUUUCGCCCGACUUAUCAC